UUUGAAUGAAUGGUUAAAUAUAAUUUUGGAUGAUUGAUUUAAUAUAUGUUUGAAUAAAUGUAUAUUAUAUUUUUUUAUUGUAACAGGUUAUAUGAAUGAGUUUUUUGUAAGGUCCUAAUGGAUACCCAUGUGAAACAGAAUUAUUAUUUUUUCUCUUUAAAAAUUUGCGACCACCUAGUUUGUCGCUUAGUGUAGUUCGUCCAAAAUACUAGCAUAUAACGACCAACCAGGUCAGGAGGUCGCCUAUAAUUUCACGUCAAAUUUUUGUGACCAACCAAGUUGGUCGCUGUUAUGGUAGCGUCAAUUUUUUGGGACCAACCAAGUUGGUCGCUCUUAUGUUGGCGUCAAAUUUUUGCGACCAACCAAGUUAGUCUCCCUAAUGUUGACGCCAAAUUUUUGCGACCAAAAAGGUUGGUCACCCUUAUGUUGGCGGCAAAUUUUUGAGACCAACCAAGUUGGUCGCCUUAUGUUGGCGGCAAAUUUUUGCGACCAACCAAGUUGGUCACCCUUAUAUUGGCACCAAAUUUUUGGGACCAACCAAGUUGGUCGCCCUUAGGUUAGCGCCAAAUUUUUGGGACCAACCAAAGUUGGUCGCCUUUAGGUUGGCACCAAAUUUUUGGGACCAACCAAGUUGGUCGCCCUUAGGUUGGCGCCAAAUUUUUG
rnacentral:lncRNA from 1 species